GGACAAGAUGGCGGCGUUAGCGGGGGAUAGCGCUAUGGAGGUGGUGCCGGCGCUGGCCGAGGAGGCCGCAGCCGAGGCGGCGGGCCCCAGCUGCCUGGUGCAGCUGCCGGGCGAGGUGCUGGAGUACAUCCUCUGCAGCGGCUCCCUAACGGCGCUCGACAUCGGCCGCGUGUCCAGCACCUGCCGUCGCCUGCGCGAGGUGUGCCAGAGCAGCGGCCAGGUGUGGAAGGAGCAGUUCCGGGUGAGGUGGCCCUCUCUGAUGAAGCACUACAGUCCCACCGACUACGUCAAUUGGUUAGAGGAAUAUAAAGUUCGGCAGAAAGCUGGCUUAGAAGCCCGGAAGAUUGUAGCCUCCUUCUCCAAACGGUUCUUUUCAGAGCAUGUUCCUUGUAACGGCUUCAGUGACAUUGAAAACCUCGAGGGGCCAGAGAUCUUUUUUGAGGAUGAGCUGGUGUGCAUCCUAAACAUGGAAGGAAGGAAAGCUUUGACCUGGAAAUACUACGCAAAGAAAAUUCUUUACUACCUGCGGCAGCAGAAAAUCCUGAACAACCUCAAGGCUUUCCUGCAGCAGCCCGAUGAUUAUGAGUCGUAUCUGGAAGGUGCCGUUUACAUCGACCAGUACUGCAACCCUCUCUCCGACAUCAGCCUUAGAGACAUCCAGGCCCAGAUCCACAGCAUCGUGGAACUUGUAUGCAAAACCCUCCGUGGUAUCAACAGCCGCCACCCCAGCCUGACCUUCAGGGCAGGCGAGUCCUCCAUGAUAAUGGAGAUAGAACUCCAGAGCCAAGUUCUGGACGCCAUCAACUAUGUCCUGUAUGACCAGCUGAAGUUCAAAGGGAACCGCAUGGACUACUACAACGCCUUGAACCUGUACAUGCACCAGGUAUUGACCCGCAGAACAGGAAUCCCCAUCAGCAUGUCUCUGCUAUACCUGACCAUCGCCCGGCAGCUGGGUGUCCCGCUGGAGCCUGUCAACUUCCCAAGCCACUUCCUCCUGAGGUGGUGCCAAGGCGCAGAAGGGGCAACCCUGGACAUCUUUGACUACAUCUACAUAGAUGCUUUUGGGAAGGGCAAGCAGCUCACAGUGAAGGAGUGUGAGUACUUGAUUGGCCAGCACGUGACGGCGGCAUUAUACGGCGUGGUGAACGUGAAGAAAGUGCUGCAGCGGAUGGUGGGCAACCUGUUGAGCUUGGGCAAGAGGGAAGGCAUUGACCAGUCCUACCAGCUCCUCAGAGACUCUUUGGACCUGUACCUGGCAAUGUACCCGGACCAGGUGCAGCUCCUGCUCCUCCAGGCCAGACUCUACUUCCACCUGGGCAUCUGGCCAGAGAAGUCUUUCUGUCUUGUCUUGAAGGUGCUUGACAUCCUCCAGCACAUCCAGACCCUCGACCCCGGGCAGCACGGGGCGGUGGGCUACCUAGUGCAGCACACACUAGAGCACAUUGAGCGCAAGAAGGAGGAGGUAGGCGUGGAGGUGAAGCUGCGCUCUGAGGAGAAGCACAGAGAUGUCUGCUACUCCAUCGGGCUCGUUAUGAAGCAUAAGAGAUACGGCUACAACUGUGUGAUCUAUGGCUGGGACCCCACCUGCAUGAUGGGGCACGAGUGGAUUCGCAACAUGAACGUGCACAGCCUGCCUCAUGGCCACCAUCAGCCCUUCUACAAUGUUCUGGUGGAGGAUGGCUCCUGCAGAUAUGCAGCCCAAGAUGUUGGCUGUGAGACCACCUGGGCUCAAAAUCCUGCAGCUGGGAAGGAGUGCGUGUGUGGCAGGCGACACUGUUCUUCUACCUGGCUGUUGAUGGACACUUGUUCCCGCCUCAGCCGUUGGGACCAGCAUGCCAUGAGGCCCCUUGAAACCUCCGCAUCCUGGCACAGCACAGAGAUGGUUCUUGCUGACCUCAAGAACAGUUUACCUGCUGAGGGGCACUGUCCCUGAUGAAACCGGCUGGUGCUUCUGCCUCACACCUGUGUGACGCCUGCAGGAUCUGGCCCCUCCCGCAGCAUCCAUCCUCCUGCAGAAACGGACAUGCUGGAGAAGUGGCCUUACACUGAGCACGGACAAGGUUCCGGCAGCACUGUGCUCCUACCAAGGGGCUUAACCUUCCCCCCUCUGCAGCACACGCUGGUCCCCAGCCACAGUGAGUGACCUAGAUGUUGUCUGGAAAAUGUAGCCCAACACUGCUAGGUUCCAGAAUGUUCUUUUGUUCCAGGUAUGAAAUUCGAAAGAAACAGUUUAUAUUAUUCUUAAUGGUGGGGGGAGCUGCAACCCUGCCUUCCCUUGACAAGCAGGAGCCUUGGUGGUCACUGAGUCACAGGAUGAUGGGGCAGACUAAGACGCAAGGUAGCAUCGUCACUCACAAAUGCCAGAUGCCUGUGUGUGGUUUCCUCUGGGCCUCUGGGGUUUGGUUUUGUUUUAAUUAGUUCUUUUUUCCUUUCUUUUCUCCCUCUCUCCCUCCCCCCCAUUUCUCCUUUCCUCUGAGGGUUUUGUUUUGUUUUAAUUAGUCCUUUUCCUUCCUUCCUUCCUUCCUUCCUUCCUUCCUUCCUUCCUUCCUUCCUUCCUUCCUCCCUUCUUCCCUCUCUCCCUCCCUCCCCCCCUUUCCUUCUUUCCUCUGGGGGUUUUAUUUUGUCUUAAUUAGUUCCUUUUUUCUUUCUCUUUUUUCCUUUUUCAUCGCCAAGUGAUUUUGUGUCCUCAUUUGAUCUCGUGUUUAGCCCCAGGCUGACCUGGAAUUCCUGGUACCAUCCCUCAGUCUGCCAGGGGCUGGAGCCUGCGCACUCCUUUGCGAUCUCCGUCGGUGAGGGGCAAGACAGUUCCCAGCAACUUUGCCAACAAAGAACAACAAUCUUCAUCCCGUGAGAGCUUUGCGUGAUGCAGAGAUGCUGGACACACGAAACACAGGGAUCAGAAGCUGCCCAUCCGAGAUGCUCAGAGGCUGGCCUGUUGGCUCCUUGGAUUCUCAAGCUGGCAGCUUGGUUGCUUUCCUCUGCGAGCCGUCACCAUUCACUAAGACGCUCCAGGUAAGAGCCUCCUCUUGGAGCUGGGGUGAGCAUGGUGGUUCUGAGCAGGAGACCUGGUUCUUUAAUUCCCAGGUGAGCGCGGUGGGUCUGUGUGUUGGAGACGACCAUCCCAGGGUGAGCCUCACAGGCCAGGGCGGCACUGCACACAGGGGAAUAGAGACAAACACAUGGUUCCAGGGUGAGAGCACACGGGCACCACCAUGCAGUUCACCAGCACCAUCUGGGCAUGAGUCACCCCAGCGUGGCCCCCUGGCAAACCAAGGCCAGCAGCAUUACCCUCCCUGCCCCCCAUAGAGCUCUUUAAGCCCUGAAGCCCGGUGACCUAACAGGAGGAGGUCAUUGAGCUGGGAACACAGCCAGGAGCGAGCCAGUGCAUAAGAUGAACCAGGCACCCCGCCAGCUGGUCGCAUGGCCAGGGCUCUGCUGCUCCCUCCAGGGAACCCAGUUCCUCUGUGGGGAUGAGGGUGUGGGGGCAAGGUAAGUUUCCACAUCCUCUCCAGGGCCUCUGGAGAUGGCAAGCCUGGCUGGUGAGGUCACUGCUUCUCCUGUGGCUGCACAGCACAGAGGGAGGCCAGAGAGACAGGUGCCUGUGCACCUUCUCAUGGACAGGAUCCCUCUGCUCUGGAACCUCAAGGCUUCCAGAAGCACACCUGGGGAUAAUGUUGCUGCCAUUUUUAGGAGAAACAUUGUCAAAUCUCCAAGGAAGGCCUGGGCGCAUUGCAUGUCCCUGUGGUGCCUCUGAGGUUUGAAUCAGGGACCCACCAGGGUCUAAGGAAGCUUAGGAGCCAGCUGUGAGCUCAGCAGUCCUGUCUGAGGGCUGUGAGCACUUCCUCACCAGGAGGGAGUGAUGAGGAGAAACAUGGUGGUUCUCAUCCCACCUGAGACCAGGCCACGGAACUUCUUAGUUGUUGCCAGGAGCAAGGCCACCACAGACCCAGAGGAUGCUGAUCCCAGAGGAAGGCAGAGGACUUUGGGGUGGACACUGUACUGGGCGGGUGCUGUAGGCUGGUGGCUGCCUAGAGUAGGUGGAGCCUAGUGGUUCAGCUUGUCACCCAGCACUCGGGAGGCUGAGGCAGGAAGAUUAUUGCAAGUUCAACUGGGCGGUGGCGGCUCACGUCUUUAAUCCCAGCACUCAGGAGGUAGAGAGGCCAUCUCUGUGUGUUCGAAGCCAUUCUGGUCUACAAAGUGAGCGCUAUUGCUGGGCGAUGGUGGCGCACGCCUUUAAUCCCAGCACUCGGGAGGCAGAGGCAGGUGGAUCUCUGUGAGUUCGAGACCAGCCUGGUCUACAGAGCUAGUUCCAGGACAGGCUCCAAAGCUACAGAGAAACCCUGUCUCGAAAAAAAAAAAUUUAGCAAAGUGAGCGCUAUUAUAUAUAUGACAGCCAGCAGUAUUAUACAGAGAAACCCUGUAUGGACAGCAAAAUAAUAAUUAUUAUUAUAAUUAUUAUUAUUAUAAAGAUUGCAAAUUCAGCCUGACCACAUAGACUAUUAAUCUGGGCCGGGCACAGCCUGAUGGUAAAGUCACGCACAGACCAAGUUCAGCCACCAGCCCAAGAAAUAUAUUAGAUAUAUUAAAGAUAUUCUACACCAGGCAUGAGAGACAGUGCCUGUGAUCUCUACGUCCUGGAGGGAGGGGAGCUGAGGCAGGAGGAUUUCCACAAAUUCAAGGCCAGCCUGUGCUAAUGCUCUGCACGCUAAAAUACAAACACAACUGCGGUCCUGUUGCAUCCGUGCCCGUGAGGGGUUUGUUCUAGCCAGCUGGAUUUUAUGGGUGCCACCAAGCAUCUAACUGAAUCCCCUUGAGCGCAUUGAGUUCACUAACAGACACACUUGGUCCAGGAGCACUUUAGUUAUGGCGAGGCAGAGGGACGGUACAUUUACAAACUCAGGAGGAUUCUCUUGAAACGUUCCAAGUCCAAACUCCUGACACUGCAUUCUGGGUACUCCCCUUCCUCAACCAUAUACUUAAAAAUGCCUGCCUGCCUCGGUGGAUGAGAACGCUUGGGGACCAGCCUGGGGACCUGUGGGGACCAGCCUGGGGACCUGUGGGGACCAGCCUGGGGACCUGGGUUCCAGCCCACAGAAAAAGGUGGAAGGAGAGAAUCAACUCUGUGAAGUUGUGCUCUGACUUCCUAACACACUGUGGCAUGCACAUCCACACAUACACAAUAAUAUAACUAAAAAAUAAAUAAAUAAGUGAUUAGGUGUGGCACGUACCUAUAACCCCAGCUUACAGGGGGUGGAGGCAGGAGAUUCAGCAGAUCAAAACAUCUUCAGCUUCAGAGCGGGUUUGACGCCAGCCUGGGCUACACUGGGACCCCCUACUCCGAAUUCUUCUGUAAGAGAAGCUAGUACACCCUUCCACCUGGGCUCAAGGCGCCUCCUCAGACAGCAUGCCACGCUCUUGCCCCAGCACCCAGUGUCGUCGGCUUCCCAUGUGACACCUGUCCCUGACCUGACUUCAGGAUGUGGGUCACCCAAGGGUCACUCCAGGAGGCUGCCCCAGCCUGUAGAUCUGUGACAACUCAGCAGGCAGUUCUAGGUACCUAUGGCUGUCACACAGGUCUAGCCAAAGGGUAGCACCCUGGCCUUGUCCACAAAGCCGGAAGGGAAGAUGUGCCCAUUCACCACAGCCGCCUGCUGCAAACAUCUCACACUUCCCCAGGAGCCCCACGCACGCCCAAUUCGGGCAGUCAUAAAAACCCUGCAGAAGUCGGUAGACCUGCCUGCCACAGGCAGAGGUGUCUUCUGUAGACUGAGAACAGUGGUGGGGCCUGGCAGGGGCUACCUGCCUGCAACAUCAUCUGGGAGCAACAACCAGGCAUAUGACACCACCCUACACACACACGCACACACACGCACAUGCACACACUCACAGCUGUCCCCCGGAGGUUGCCUGUGCCUUCUUUGCAGAAGGCUGAGUAGAGACUGGUCAUCUCGGCAGGUGACAGGACAGAACAGAAGCCAUGGCAAUGCUGGCUGAAGCUGGAGGUUCUAAGUUGUCCCUCUCCAUGUCCUGCUAUUUGCUGGCCACCUUGUUCGGCCUAGACCCUAGGCUGCCCCCUGCCUGCAAACAGGAUGUGCUGGGUUCCUCACGCCUGAGAGUCUGGGACCUUGGCAUCCAGAGGAACCACUGCAGCUGGGGAUGUGUUCAAAACCCACCAGGGGACCGAUGAGAUGGCUUCAGCAGGUAAAGGCGUUUGCCGCAGAGCCUACAACCUGAGUUCAAUCCCCGGGACCCACAGACGGAGAAAGCCAAAUCCUGCAAAUGGUCCUCUGACCUCCACGUCUACACCGUGGCAUGUGUGCAUGUACAACUCACACACACACACACACACGUACACACGCUGCUCCAGCUGAAUUUGACUUUUGACCUGCAAUUUUCUAGCUAGUUGUGGAUUCAAAAUUGUUUUAAACAUUGUGUGUGUGUGUGUGUGUGAGACUGUGGCCUUGGCCACACAAGUGCCAUGGUGUAUGUGGAGGUCAGAGGACAAUUAAUGAGACUCGGUCUGACCUUCCGUGUGGCUCAUGGGCUCAAGCUCCAGUUGUCAGGCUUGGUGACUGAGGUAUCAAGCUGGACAUAUUGGACAUCUGGAGACUUAAGCUACUAAAGCCAUCCUCCUGUCCCCCGCCAUGCCUUAUUUAACAGGAAUAAAGGCACAGCUGAGCCGAAGUUUUAGCCACUCCUGGGAGCAGUGGUUAAUGGGCAACAGUAUCUGAACAUGCUUGGGGUCCAGCUCUUUUGGUGGGGGCUCUCAUCCCCUAGUCAUGGGGACCACCCACAAGUCCCCAGAAGGAGGCCUUACCCCGUAACUGCUUCAAGGUUUGUGUGACUAUGGGGAAGUCUGUGAGUUUGGCUGGCCCAAAGCAGUGGCCCCUGGCUAUGCCCUUUGGUGGGUGUGUGGGAAAUACUGUCAGUGAAAUGGGGGGCUCUCCAUUCACCAUGUCACUGUGUGGAGCAACCCCACAGCCAUCUCACUGUGACCUCUGUCACUGUCCCCACUCAGGACAACUAAUGCCUUCUGUGCAUGCACCCUUCUACGCCAUGGGGCCCAGGGGGCUGAGUUCUCACCUGCCACCACCCUCCUCUGUGCCUGGAAAUCCCAGGUCUACCCCAAACCCUAUGACACCUGGUGGUUGCAUCCAUGCCCCUGGGUCAUGAAGUCUUUGUGCACUUGCCUUCAUCCCUCUGUGGUGGCUGUUCCUGGGACACGGGCUGAAGGACAGCAGCUAAACUGUCCUCCUGGCGGUUACCCUCCUCUGUCCUGUCCUCAUUGACGCGCACCCGGUCUGCACAGCUGCCCCUUGGCACCCCCACCCCCAUCCAAUGACGACAGAAGUCACACCUCUCCACCAAGCCUUGCCUGAGCGGCCCGAGUAUGAGCCUCAGAUGGGUCCUGAGGCUCCAAGCCCUGGGGGAUUUGGGCACCAGCGAGAGUGGACAGCUGGAAGGCAGUUUGCCUCUCCUUCCCUGCCUUGUCAGCACCGAGCAGUGGCCCGGGGUUCUGCUGAGUCAGUGUGGCUAGGCUGGGUCUUGGCUCUGCGGCACCUGCCUGGGCCGGUCCCCUGAUGGAGGCUCUUCUCGCUUCAUUUCAAAUUUCACCCUGUGUAAUGCUGUACCCCACCCUGUGUUUAUCACCCUGCCUUUCUGUGCAUCCCAUGGGUGCAGGUGUCCACGGGGGAGGAGGGAGAGAGGAGGGGACCCCACAGGGCUAGGAAGGAGGAGGCCGGCUCAGUCCACAGAGGGGUGGUUUCGUUUUCACCUUGUAGGACAGCUCUGGACCCCUAGAUACAGUCUCAGCCUCCCGCUGACUGCCAGGAUGGCAGUCACCCCAGCCAUGGUCUCCACUCCUGGGCUCCUCCUCCCUGCACCCAUUUGUAGUCUGUUACAGAGAACCCGUGAGGAGCGCUGCCCCUGAGUCCCAGGGCCAGCACCCCUGAGUCCCAGGGCCAGCACCCCUGUAGUGCACAUCUCACAGUAUACUGCAGAGUCCCGAGGGGAAGUGUGUUGGACCCCAUUCCUGCUCCAGAAGUCCAGUGGGGACCUGGCCAGAGGUGUGGCUCCACUGUGGGAGAGCAAGCCAUGCAUGCUGGGAGCAGGGGUUCGUCUCCAGCUGUAAACACCAGGCUAUGCAACACUGACCUAUAAUCCUAGCUUGCCAGAGGCAGGAGAAUCAGAGGUUUGAGGUAAUUUUCUUUUCUUUUUUUAAAGAUUUAUUUAUUAUGUGUACAGUGUUCUGUCUGCAUGUACACCUGCAGGCCAGAAGAGGGCACCAGAUCUCAUUACAGAUGGUUGUGAGUUACCAUGUGGUUGCUGGGAAUGAACUCAGGACCUCUGGAAGGGCAGCCUUUAACCUCUGAGUCAUCUCUCCACGAGGUCUUUUUCAAACGCGCAGUUAAGAGUUCAAGGCCAACCUGGGCUACCUGAGACUUCCUCCAGGGUUGUCAUGCUCCGUGGAAGGGAGGAGUAACCAUUUGUAUCAUGGGUAAUAUGUCCUGUGAACUUCUAGGUUGUCACAAAAUGGUCUGAAGAAGUGUUUUCCAUUUUCUUAUCUGCUAGUUGGGUCACCCUGGUGGCUGAAGGCACCUGUCAGCAGUCAUGGGCUAGUGAUGGGACCCAGCAGGACUUGGUUACAGGGUGAAUGGGAGCUGGAGAUCUGAGCCCCUCGAGCCUCAGUUUCCACAUCUUUGGCAUGGGAUGAAGGUGGAGUGCCUUCCCAUUUGACCAUGCUGGCUGAGAUAAUUUAAGGAAAGUCACUGACUCAUGGAGACCCUCCUUGUCCAGUAGCUCCUCCCUUACCCUCUGCUGGGACCACAUAUGUGACCCGGGCCUUGGAAGUAAUAGAAAAGGAAGAAUGUCCCCCUGCUGUGAAAUAUUUAACUAUGCAAAGAUGUGUUGCAUUUAAUCAUGUAAAGAUGUGUUACUAUGGUUUAUCCUGUGGAAUGUUACUUUAACUGUGUAAAGGUUGUUACAUUUGUUUCUGCUGUGGAAUGUUACUUUAACUGUGUAAAGGUUGUUACAUUUGUUUC